rnacentral:tRNA from 1 species
AUCUGGGUAGCUUAAAUUAAAGCUUGGUAUUGAAGAUACCGUGAUAAGUAGAUACUUUCUAGAUA